rnacentral:rRNA from 1 species
UACGGANGGGGUUAGCGUUGUUCGGAAUUACUGGGCGUAAAGCGCGUGUAGGCGGAUUAGAAAGUUGGGGGUGAAAUCCCGGGGCUCAACCCCGGAACUGCCUCCAAAACUACUAGUCUAGAGUUCGAGAGAGGUGAGUGGAAUUCCGAGUGUAGAGGUGAAAUUCGUAGAUAUUCGGAGGAACACCAGUGGCGAAGGCGGCUCACUGGCUCGAUACUGACGCUGAGGUGCGAAAGUGUGGGGAGCAAACAGG